UACGUAGGGAGCAAGCGUUGUCCGGAAUUAUUGGGCGUAAAGCGCGUGUAGGCGGCAUGGCAAGUCGGGUGUGAAAGCCCUCAGCUCAACUGAGGAAGUGCGCCCGAAACUGCUUUGCUUGAGUGCUGGAGAGGGUCGCGGAAUUCCCCAAGUAGAGGUGAAAUUCGUAGAUAUGGGGAGGAACACCGGUGGCGAAGGCGGCGACCUGGUCCUUGACUGACGCUGAGGCGCGAAAGCGUGGGGAGCAAACAGG
rnacentral:rRNA from 1 species